rnacentral:rRNA from 1 species
CGCUGGCGGCGUGCUUAACACAUGCAAGUCGAACGGAAAGGCCCUGCUUUUGUGGGGUGCUCGAGUGGCGAACGGGUGAGUAACACGUGAGUAACCUGCCCUUGACUUUGGGAUAACUUCAGGAAACUGGGGCUAAUACCGGAUAGGAGCUCCUGCUGCAUGGUGGGGGUUGGAAAGUUUCGGCGGUUGGGGAUGGACUCGCGGCUUAUCAGCUUGUUGGUGGGGUAGUGGCUUACCAAGGCUUUGACGGGUAGCCGGCCUGAGAGGGUGACCGGCCACAUUGGGACUGAGAUACGGCCCAGACUCCUACGGGAGGCAGCAGUGGGGAAUAUUGCACAAUGGGCGGAAGCCUGAUGCAGCAACGCCGCGUGCGGGAUGACGGCCUUCGGGUUGUAAACCGCUUUCGCCUGUGAUGAAGCGUGAGUGACGGUAAUGGGUAAAGAAGCACCGGCUAACUACGUGCCAGCAGCCGCGGUGAUACGUAGGGUGCGAGCGUUGUCCGGAUUUAUUGGGCGUAAAGGGCUCGUAGGUGGUUGAUCGCGUCGGAAGUGUAAUCUUGGGGCUUAACCCUGAGCGUGCUUUCGAUACGGGUUGACUUGAGGAAGGUAGGGGAGAAUGGAAUUCCUGGUGGAGCGGUGGAAUGCGCAGAUAUCAGGAGGAACACCAGUGGCGAAGGCGGUUCUCUGGGCCUUUCCUGACGCUGAGGAGCGAAAGCGUGGGGAGCGAACAGGCUUAGAUACCCUGGUAGUCCACGCUGUAAACGGUGGGUACUAGGUGUGGGGUCCAUUCCACGGGUUCCGUGCCGUAGCUAACGCUUUAAGUACCCCGCCUGGGGAGUACGGCCGCAAGGCUAAAACUCAAAGGAAUUGACGGGGCCCCGCACAAGCGGCGGAGCAUGCGGAUUAAUUCGAUGCAACGCGUAGAACCUUACCUGGGUUUGACAUGGAUCGGGAGUGCUCAGAGAUGGGUGUGCCUCUUUUGGGGUCGGUUCACAGGUGGUGCAUGGCUGUCGUCAGCUCGUGUCGUGAGAUGUUGGGUUAAGUCCCGCAACGAGCGCAACCCUUGUUCACUGUUGCCAGCACGUUAUGGUGGGGACUCAGUGGAGACCGCCGGGGUCAACUCGGAGGAAGGUGGGGAUGACGUCAAGUCAUCAUGCCCCUUAUGUCCAGGGCUUCACGCAUGCUACAAUGGCUGGUACAGAGAGUGGCGAGCCUGUGAGGGUGAGCGAAUCUCGGAAAGCCGGUCUCAGUUCGGAUUGGGGUCUGCAACUCGACCUCAUGAAGUCGGAGUCGCUAGUAAUCGCAGAUCAGCAACGCUGCGGUGAAUACGUUCCCGGGGCUUGUACACACCGCCCGUCAAGUCAUGAAAGUUGGUAACACCCGAAGCCGGUGGCCUAACCGUUGUGGGGGAGCCGUCGAAGGUGGGACUGGUGAUU